UUGCAGUUUUAUGUAAAUAUUAAAAUGGCUUCAAUGUUUGCUUAUUUUGCAGCUUCACUUGGAGCAGUGCCAACAGUCAUUGCAACAGUCCCUGCAGCUACACUGGUAAUGGACCUUUUCAGAGUGGUUUCCCCAAUCAGGGGGGGCAGAACGUCAAUGGCAGUCAGAGCAGCUGGAGUAAUGAGCAGCCUCAGGAAUCUCCUUCCACUUGGAACUCAGCAGCAUGUGUGGGCAGCAAGCCGUAUUUCUCGGGGACCCGCAGCCUCUCUCCCAUGUCUGGUCUGUUUGGCUCCAUCUGGACCCCGCAGACUCACUUCCCAGCUGAGCGAUCAGUCCCAGUGUCCCCCAUGUCUCCCAUCACCCCUGUCACCCCUCCACACUCCCCAUUCACCCGAGAGCCGGAGGGAACCUACCGACCCAUCCAGUACUCCAGCUUCAACCCGUUCGGGCCACACAUGAACCUGGACAUAUGGAACUCUUCAUCUAAUCGCAGCUCCAACUCCCAGCUCUCCAACGACUCCGGCUACUGUGGAGAUGUCUGAAUCCGAAAACCAGAACAGCAGACCUUAAUACUUGCAAAUGCCUAAUAUAAAAGAAAGGAAAUAAAAAUGAAUGUUCUUUUAUCAACAGAGGGGAAAAUGUGAAUAUUACUUUUAUUUUAUUUUCCAAUUUUCAGAUGUUAAAUGUUGUGAGAGGUGAAGCAUUUGUUGUAUAUUUUUCUAGAUGUUUUGCAGUUUUGAUCAUAGAAAAUAAAAGCAAGGUUUUGUACU